rnacentral:rRNA from 1 species
AGUGAACGCUGGCGGUAGGCCUAACACAUGCAAGUCGAACGGCAGCACAGUAAGAGCUUGCUCUUACGGGUGGCGAGUGGCGGACGGGUGAGGAAUACAUCGGAAUCUACUUUUUCGUGGGGGAUAACGUAGGGAAACUUACGCUAAUACCGCAUACGACCUACGGGUGAAAGCAGGGGAUCUUCGGACCUUGCGCGAUUGAAUGAGCCGAUGUCGGAUUAGCUAGUUGGCGGGGUAAAGGCCCACCAAGGCGACGAUCCGUAGCUGGUCUGAGAGGAUGAUCAGCCAACCUGGAACUGAGACACGGUCCAGGCUCCUACGGGAGGCAGCAGUGGGGAAUAUUGGACCAUGGGCGCAAGCCUGAUCCAGCCAUGCCGCGUGGGUGAAGAAGGCCUUCGGGUUGUAAAGCCCUUUUGUUGGGAAAGAAAAGCAGCAGGUUAAUACCCCGCUGUUCUGACGGUACCCAAAGAAUAAGCACCGGCUAACUUCGU